CGAAAGCACAGUCAUCAGUGUAUGUAAAUAUCUUAACAUUUAUCUGGUGCCAAACGACAUGAAACAGUCCUAUGUGUUACAGUUGGAACUAUUUUUACUUCAAUUGAACCAGCAUAAGGUAUGUUUUUCAAUUUUUGGAAUUGUGGAUUUACGACGAUCUACAAUAACAAAAGUGAUUGGGACUACCAUUUCAUAUUUCCUGAUUUUCAUUCAAUUACAAAACACGU